rnacentral:rRNA from 1 species
AUUGAACGCUGGCGGCAGGCCUAACACAUGCAAGUCGAACGAGUGGCGGACGGGUGAGUAAUGUCUGGGAAACUGCCCGAUGGAGGGGGAUAACUACGGGAAACGGUAGCUAAUACCGCAUACCAUCGGAUGUGCCCAGAUGGGAUUAGCUAGUAGGUGGGGUAAAGGCUCACCUAGGCGACGAUCCCUAGCUGGUCUGAGAGGAUGACCGGCCAAACGGGAACUGAGACACGGUCCAGACUCCUACGGGAGGCAGCAGUGGGGAAUAUUGCACAAUGGGCGCAAGCCUGAUGCAGCCAUGCCGCGUGUAUGAAGAAGGCCUUCGGGUUGUAAAGUACUUUCAGAGGAGAGGCGUUACUCACAGAAGAAGCACCGGCUAACUCCGUGCCAGCAGCCGCGGUAAUUC